ACGUGAGCAACCUGCCUUUCAGUGGGGGACAACAUUUGGAAACGAAUGCUAAUACCGCAUAAGACCACAGUGUCGCAUGGCACAGGGGUCAAAGGAUUUAUCCGCUGAAAGAUGGGCUCGCGUCCGAUUAGCUAGAUGGUGAGGUAACGGCCCACCAUAGCGACGAUCGGUAGCCGGACUGAGAGGUUGAUCGGCCACAUUGGGACUGAGACACGGCCCAGACUCCUACGGGAGGCAGCAUG
rnacentral:rRNA from 1 species